rnacentral:rRNA from 1 species
UACGGAGGGUGCAAGCGUUGUCCGGAAUCACUGGGCGUAAAGGGCGCGUAGGCGGCUCAUGAAGGCUGUGGUGAAAGUCCGGGGCUCAACCUCGGAUCGGCCGUGGCGACUCGUGGGCUGGAGCACUGUAGAGGCGGGUGGAAUUCCGGGUGUAGCGGUGGAAUACGUAGAGAUCCGGAAGAACACCGGUGGCGAAGGCGGUCUGCUGGGCAGUUGCUGACACUGAGGCGCGACAGCGUGGGGAGCAAACAGG